UGGCUCAGUGGUAGAGCGCUUGCCUAGCAUGCAUGAAGUACUGGGUUCAAUCCCCGG
rnacentral:tRNA from 1 species